rnacentral:miRNA from 1 species
UGGUAUUUUCCCGGCGCAUUUUACA